UGAUCAGAAUCCUGUCUUGCCUCCAUUCUUCGUGUCUCUUGUCCCUUUAUAAUCCCCACUCCCCUUCUAGGGUCCUCGUUGACUAUACCCGCGGGUCGGGUCAAAGGAUAAUGUUGAGACAUUUUACAUGGCUGGGGAUUUAUCUCAGCGGCACAGCACCUGCCUGGCAAACACAAGGGUGGAGACAAUUGAUCAUGUCCUUGAAGAAGAGUUUGAUGAUAUAGGACAGAAGAGAUCACACGGAACUGGUAUGCAGAAAGUAGCUCCGGGCCCACAGCAGCCCCUUGAUACAUGUUUGGCCAUGAGUUAAUAAACUGGGCUCAGGAGAAUUAGGGGCCAACUGGGGGUGGCCCGUGGACUGAAAGG
rnacentral:lncRNA from 1 species